rnacentral:rRNA from 1 species
UGGGGAAUUUUGGACAAUGGGCGCAAGCCUGAUCCAGCCAUGCCGCGUGAGUGAUGAAGGCCCUAGGGUUGUAAAGCUCUUUCACCGGUGAAGAUAAUGACGGUAACCGGAGAAGAAGCCCCGGCUAACUUCGUGCCAGCAGCCGCGGUAAUACGAAGGGGGCUAGCGUUGUUCGGAUUUACUGGGCGUAAAGCGCACGUAGGCGGACUUUUAAGUCAGGGGUGAAAUCCCGGGGCUCAACCCCGGAACUGCCUUUGAUACUGGAAGUCUUGAGUAUGGUAGAGGUGAGUGGAAUUCCAAGUGUAGAGGUGAAAUUCGUAGAUAUUCGGAGGAACACCAGUGGCGAAGGCGGCUCACUGGACCAUUACUGACGCUGAGGUGCGAAAGCGUGGGGAGCAAACAGG